rnacentral:rRNA from 1 species
UAGGGAAUCUUCGGCAAUGGGGGGAACCCUGACCGAGCAACGCCGCGUGAGUGAAGAAGGUUUUCGGAUCGUAAAGCUCUGUUGUUAAGGAAGAACGCGUGUGAGAAUGGAAAGUUCAUGCUGUGACGGUACUUAACCAGAAAGGGACGGCUAACUACGUGCCAGCAGCCGCGGUAAUACGUAGGUCCCGAGCGCUGUCCGGAUUUAUUGGGCGUAAAGCGAGCGCAGGCGGUUAGAAAAGUCUGAAGUGAAAGGCAGUGGCUCAACCAUUGUAGGCUUUGGAAACUGUUUAACUUGCGUGCAGAAGGGGAGAUUGUAAUUCCACGUGUGGCGUUGAAAUGCGUAGAUAUAUGGAGUAACACCGGUGGCUAAAGCGGCUCUCUGGUCUGUAUCUAACGCUAAGGCUCGAAAGCGUGGGGAUCGAACAGG